GUCAAGGGAAAUCAAGCGAACGAUAGCAUAGUUAACGACAAAGGUAGACAGAGAGACGGCGCCGACCUAUAGGAGCUAUCAGCAGAUUUACGGGAGCACUCCACUAUUUUGGAGGUGCUAGUCGAGCUAUGAUUUUGUGUAUAUAUGUAUAUGUCUAGUACUCCAGUAGAGGCUCGUAGAUACGCAGUGUGGGUUGUGUGGUAUCCCAAGGUUGCCAUUAUGUAGAAAUUUAUAUACAUAUAUGUGCAUAUUAUUUUGAUAGCCUAAAGGCUUAUGUUUACAAAAGUAUAUAUAUUUUAAACAGAAGAUGAUUUCUUUA